GGCAGAUCUGGGCUGUGGCUGCCACUCGGAGGCCUGUGGUCUAUCUUAAUUAGGAAGCCCUGUGCGGGGUACUGCUGGGCAGGCCCGCGGCCCACUCAGAACCAUGGAGUCUCACAUGGGCAGGCUCUGGGAGUCAAGCCCACCCUUACCUCCACUGUACAGAUGGAGCCACAGGGACAGGAGCUUGGAGUCACCAUGGCUCAAGCCUCCUGCCCACCUGACCAUUGUCGUGGGAACAAGAAGGGGAAGGAUGAAACUGCUCCUGCAGGUGUAUCCGAAGGGGAGAGAAAGGGAGGGCUCUAAACUGGAGGCAGGACUAGUAGGCGCAGUCCCCUCCUCUGGGGGAUGUCUGCCUGUCACCAUGGACAGUUUGGCUUAACUUGGUCCAAAGGCCUCCCAGGCUUCAUGGGUGGUGGGUGCUGACCAGGGUGCUGAAGCAGUACAGCGCUUCCUAACAGCCCAGGGAGGGAGAGGGAGGCGACUGGGAAGAGGACCCUUCUAUUUUUGUUACACUAACUAUUUUGGCCAGUGUUUCCUGGGGAUUUCUUGGAUUCGAAGCCAGGAUUUCUAUGGUCUUUGUGGCCCUGGGAAAGUCAUUGUCCCUCAUCUGCUCUGCACAUGUCCUAUCACCUGUUCAUGAACAAAAGUAGCUUCCAUCUCACUAAACUUGGAAGGCCAAGGAGAGCACUCCCUGGGGCCAGGUGAUGGGACCUGCACAGAGCCCAGGCCCAGCCCUGGGGCCCAGGAAGGCACUCAGGAGCUCUCUCUCUCAGUGGCUUCUGGGACCCAUUGCCUCCCCUGUGGCUCUGAGGUCGUGCCGGGUGGUUUCAGGCGCUCCUUUCUAACCCUGUUGCCCUGGGCCCUGUGGCUAGAGGUGGCAGUCCUUAGGAACAUGAGGAACACUUUGCAGACAGGACCAAUUUCAAAGUCUAGAUUCUCCUGGGGAUUACGUGACACCUUUCUGUGCUCACACAAGUCCUGACUGGGCUUUCCCGUUUCUGGAAUGGGUUUUCCCUGGGGCCCUGUCCUUUUCUGGUUGUGAGGUCUGGGCAUGGCAGAAGAGCACUGGCUUUAGAAUCAGGCCAAC
rnacentral:lncRNA from 1 species